GGGGCCGCAGCUCUUCGCCAUCCUGCGCCAGUGGGUGCCGCAGGUGCAGCACAGCGUGGACGUCAUCGGCAACGAGAUCCUGCGCCGCGGGUGCCACGUGGACGACAGGGACGGACUGACGGACAUGACCCUGCUGCACUACGCCUGCAAGGCCGGCGCGCACGGCGUGGGUGACCCCGCGGCCGCCGUCCGUCUGUCCCAGCGGCUGCUGGCCCUGGGGGGGGACGCGGGUCUGCGCAGCCGCUGGACGCACAUGAACGCGCUGCACUACGCCGCCUACUUCGACGUGCCCGAGCUCAUCCGCACCCUGCUCCGGGCGGCCGCGC